AUGAUGAUGAUGAUUCUUUUUGGAAGCAAGUUGAUUGCAUAGUGAAGUCCGCUUUCUCAUCCAAAGGCCAAAACCAUAAUUCCCCCCGCCAUCGAAAGGCUCUAGCGUGUUGAUUAAUAAGCCUCUGAUGUCAUUCAUACGCUGAUGUUCCAUCCCAAGCAGUAAGAGUGUUUUGAAACUGCGUUGCCAGCUCUCGGACAAAGGAAAACUAUUUGAGUGUUGGGGUUCUUCCUGAUGCAGUGGGAAAAUGCCUCCGUCACAGGAAAACUUGCCCAGUUCUGCAGAUAAUGCUGGUGUUCCACAAACAGCCUGGACGGUUUGUUCUCAUCUACGGGGCUUUAUAUAGGGAGAAGCUCUUCAUCUUUAAACCCACACAGUCACAGCUAGGAUCAAAAGAGUAUCUGGAGAGCAGCUGCCUUUGGCAGAACCUUCUCUGUGAAAACUUUAGGUCCCAGUGACAGCUUGAGUUGCCGGAUCUCCAUAUGAUCUCCAUGCAACGUGCAAACAAUCAUUCUGCAUAUAGUUGAGAGGAAAAAUGAUUUGCUGGGAUCCUGGAAAGAGCAGAACACAAAGCUUGAUUAUUUUGUUGUUGCUGUGCACAAAUUUGUUUAUAAGUAUCUAUUAUAAAGUUGCUGUUUGCUUUAAUUAAAUUUCAAUUAGAAGUAUCUUC